CAUUAUUUGCAGUUUAUUCCAAAACACAAGGCUCCAAAACCACUGCAGUUGAGAUAUAAGCAAAACAAUUAAUGCCAUACGUGAAUAUUAUUUGACUUUCCUCCUCAGUGAGAUGUAAUCUCAGGGAAAGCAUACGGCUUAAACAGGAUUGAGUGAUCACAUGAGCCACAGAGAGAAAACACUUGGAGAUCCCUAAUGUGGAUAUCCCUAUACGUGACAUCUUCACUGCAUGGGACAAUGUACAGAUAUUGACUUACUGACAAUGACACAUAUAAGAGUUAACAAGCCUUCGGCAGACAUUGCCGGCCCAAAUCCUCAUGCCUGCCUUACGUUGAGUGAAGAUCCAAAAAAUAAAAAACAAAGGAGCAGGUGGAGGGCUUCUCGUCAACUUUUAUCUCUUAAGCAUAUAUUAGGUCUUGGUUCCUAUAACAUCCCAAAAUCGAGGCUUGUCUUAUUGGUCAUCAUUCCACCAUAACUAAGGGCUCCUUCUAAUGGACAACCAGGCUGCGAAGCUCUCUCCGUCUUCAUUCCACGACCAUAUUUCUCUGCUUCUUGCUGGAAGCACAAAUGAUAGGAUAGAGGACAUGGAAGAAUCGAGAAAGGGAGCCAAAAAAAACAGGCAGAGAUCUUCCAGUUCCACGGCAGGCUUUUUCCACGAUCCAUGCCAGAAUUGCUCUUCACCUUCGGACCAUUUCUGCCAGUCUUCUGGCUUCACACAUGCCACAUCAUCAAAAGUAACAACAGUGGAACAGCCUCUAAAGCAUGGGUGCGAUUGCAACUACAUUCAGCCUUCUUCCGCUCCAUCUGUAAGCAAAGAUGCUGCAGUGUCUCCUGGCGGUGUUGACAAAAUUAAGACAAGUCACAAUUCCCAACGAAGUGGCCUGGGUGUUGCCUGGCAAUGGUCAAGAAUGCGCCAAAGUAUAAUCAGAAAAAAUGACGCAAUGGGUUUUCAAAGUACACGGCAUUUCAAGGGAUAUCCCCGGGAAAGUCCUUCUGAAGCCAAUUGCUCACAAAGUCAAGCACUCUCACAAGAAAACUCGAGGGAAGAAAUUGAUCCUAUAAACCAGGAGAAUCUCUCUGACUCCGCCUUCAAGUACGCAUAUUUCAGCAGAAAUGAUAGCCAACAUACUGAUAGAGAGCAGAAGAGGCUUAGCGUGAGUGAGCACAGGUCAAGCACAAGCCUCAGUCACAAGUAUCAGCCAAAGAGUUUCCAGCAGGUUGUAGGCCAUGAAAUCAACAUUAAGGUCAUAUUUAAUGCUGUUCAGAGGAACAAAGUCGCUCAACUUUAUCUUUUUCAUGGCCCCAGUGGUACUGGCAAGACAUCAACUGCUAGAAUAUUUGCCAUGGCAUUACACUGUGAAUCCACUUCACUUGACAAACCAUGCUGGACUUGCAGAGGAUGCUGUAGAAGCCUUUAUAUGAUGGACUUGUGCUCCGGAAGUAGAACCACUGGAUUCCUAAGAAUUAGUACACUUCUUCAAUGCACGUCUUUUGCACAAGCAGUUCCAGGAUUUAAGGUCUUCAUCAUUGAGGAGUCUCAUUCACUGACAGCAGAAGCAUGGGAUGAGCUUUUGGGUAUAUUGGAAAAUACAUAUAGUGCUACUUUGAUUUUUGUGCUGAUUGCUGAAGAUGCAAACAUGAUUCCAGAAUGCAUAUCAUCAAAAUGUCAGAAAUUCUGUUUUCCAAGACUUAAUAACAUGGAUGUCACAUUAAAGCUAGCAAGAAUAGUAGCUGAGGAGGCAAUUACAAUUGAAAAAGAUGCAGUGAAACUGAUUGUUGCCAAGGCAGAAGGAUCAUUGAAAGAAGCAGAACACAUAUUGGAUCAGUUAACCUUAUUGGGACCAAGAAUCACUAGUUCCAUGGUCCAACAACUUGUAGGUGCCUUUUCAUUUAACUUCUCCAUCAGCUUUCCCUCGGUGCACACACACACACAUGCACACUCUUCUCCAUAUUUGCGGCAAUAAUGCUCUGACAAUAUGUCAGCCACAUUCCUUCACAACCUUUAUUAGGCACUUUCAACAAUGAAAUGAUUUCCCUCAUUCUUUUGCAUGCAGGUAGGUCUAGUUCCGCAGAAUAAACUCAUCAAUUUACUCAAAGCAGCUCUUUCUGGAGACACUAAGAAAACUAUUAUAACUGCCAGGGAAUUAGUUGCAACUGGGGUUGAAGCUGAAGCCAUUAUAUUCCAGUUGACAUCUCUCAUUACAGAUAUACUCACAGGUGUUGCUAUCAAUAUUCCUACUCACUCAGCAUUUGCUGGGCCAUCCAAAGAUGAGGAACUGCUAGAAACCGAAUCACAAUUCAGUAAGAUGCAUGAAAUUCUUAAACAUUAUAUUCUUUGGUAUUUCCCCACCCACUAACUUUCUGGGCAAAUGUUGCAGUAGACACUCAAUCAGACAACUUAUGCUAUGCCUUAAAGAUAUUACUUGACGCGGAGAAGCAGCCUAGAUCAUCAUUUGACAACAUUACCUGGGUAUAUGCAGCUCUUCUACAGAUUGCUUCACGAGAUAUUUCUGAUGGAAUAUCUUCAGGAAUUUCCUUUCCAAAGAGGACAUUAAAACCCUUGGGUACCCCUUUUAGCACCGAAAUAGAAUACAGAUUUUAGAAGUCAACUAGGAAAAGAAAUGGUUCAGGAAGCAUAACUCAGAAACCUUAAAAACUUCCUGCAGGUGACACAAUCCAAUCCCACAGCAGAAAUGUGGCAAGUUAUCAUUCCACCAGCAACACUUAUGUGCAACAAAAUAGAUGCAGCAGAGACCUAAACAUAACCAAUGCAAGCAUGGAGAAGACAGUGAAAUACAAAGGAAAAGGAGUUGCAAGGGAGCUUAACUUAGCUAGCAUGAGAGACAUGGAUGAGAUUUGGUUGAAUAUCCUUGAAAGAAUAGAAAGCAGAGAUAUCAAACAAUUCUUGUCCAGCCAUGUGAAGCUUGCAUCAUUAACAGUAUCCAGCGGUAAUGCUCUUCUUCCUACUAGGUAGCUGUGUAACACAAUCACAAUUUUAUUGCUACAAAAAACGUUUAUUCAGGUGAAACUUUUUUUUUUUUUGGGCUGUAAAAUAUUCACUCGCAGCAGCCAAUGUCAUUGUACAUUUGAUGUUCAAAAGAGCUGAAGCCAAGCUGGCAGCCCAGAUGUCUGAACAAAGCAUAUCAAAAGCUUUAGAAACUGCAAUUGGGUGCUUAGUCAUGGUAAAUAUGAGCUUGGAGCCAGUUGAAUUGGGGAUCAUCAAAGAAGAUACUGCCUCUACCAACAACUUCCAGUCAGCUGAAUGCAAUCAUCCAAGAGAACCGCAUCAAAAAUCAUUUCCUGAGAUUUUAUACAAAGCAAAUUCUGGAGCUACAUUGCACCAAAGCACAUAUAGGAAAUUGGGUUCUUCAUCAGUUAGCAACCCACAGCUUACUGAGUUGAAAGAUAGCACAUUGAUAGCUGAAGUGCAAGCAGCAAGAGAAACAGAGGCACGCAGCCAGAUUUUGCCCUUUUCGGGAUCUCUGAUGCAGGAGAACCAAAUGAGAGCCUCCACAGGUCCCACAACCAAUUCUCUGGGAAAGGAUCAAUUGUUACUAGACGUAGCCCAGAUAUUAAGAAAGGAAGAGCCUAAACACAGUUGGUUGUCGUUGUCCUCUUUUCAGCAGAAUGAUGCAAGUGUCGAGCCAUACAGCCAAGACAUACUGUUCGAAAUUGCAAACGUAGACAAAGAGAACAGAGCCAAAAAAGGUCCAAAGCUCCCAAAAGGCUCAUCUAAAGUUCACGAGGUUAAUCAUUUGCAUGAGAACAGAGAAAGCAUGUAAGCAGGAAAACACACAAUGCACACAGACUCUUUCCUUUUUACCUUUUUUCUUGGGCAUUUGUAAAUUAAGAAGAAUGAGCUUAAUUCACUUUUCUCGCUUUCCUAUAAUUUUGAACAGAGGAUUAUUCCGCUCUUGGAGUUGCAAGGAGGUGUUGUGCCAGAAGAAGACAAAAAGAAAUAAUCGUCCAUCAGCAAGACUGUUGAAAAAUAACAACGUAUGACACGUACAUAGCUUAGAAGAAGUUGAGAUUAACAAACAUGGACAGAGACAUUGAAGUGCAGGUACCGCCAAUUGAAUCCAAACUGGUCCUCCACAAGGGGAGUGCAUCAGAACAUAGAUUUUUUGUCUCCAUGCAUAAAAUAAAAAAUCUGUUUGCAUUAACUCUAGAGUUACAUCGCCUGUCUUUUGGCAUCUCUGAAAUCUCAAUUCUUCAAAUACCAAAUGGCGAAGUGUAUUUGUGAUUUUCAUUCCUUUGAGAUGGUUUACUCUUUACCAGUUCCCUGCGACAGCGCUACGAUGGACACAGAUCCACCAACUUUUUGCCACGCCAUGAUUCAAGCUUAAUUAUCGAAAUAGAUCCACUAUCAAGGUUUAACAUGAAGCGGGAUGUUGAACUAGAGAAGGCAUUUCUUCAUAUGCAUCAGCUUCUCAAGUAUAAAAUCAUUCAUACACAUCUCCAAGGUGUUAAUUGAUUAAACGGGCUUCUAACUGACAUCAAGCCCACUGAAAGAGGCAUCUCCAUAAUAGUAAAGAGAACUGGCAGAUACUCUCUGCGUUAGAUACGCCCCUUUCUACGUUAGCAUGGAGGUAGCCACCAAGGGCAGUCACAACAUAGAAGUCAGGCAAAUCCAAAAAAUCAUGGUACACAAUGUCAACAUGGCAAUCAAUAGCUAUCAUUUCAUUCAUGACUUUUAAGAAACUGCCCCACUCUCCGAACUGCAAUCUGCAGUCUAACAGGAAACCAUACCUCAGGCCCCGUCUAAACAGGUUGUCCUAUGUUCAAAUUCUCCUUCCCGUAACCCCAAAAAAAAAUUACUUAAGCAGGUGGGAUCUGCAAGGAACCUGAGAUAUCUCCUAGUUAAUUAAAUAUACAGAACAUUCCCAAUUACUAGCAACACAAACCAAAGGAGAAAUAAAUACUGACCUCUAGUACUAAUCGGAUAAGUUACAAUAUUCCAUUACACAAACAAACAUUUGAAGAAAAAAAAAGAUACAAAGGAAGAUUGCACCUUUCACUUUCCUUGUUCCCAAAAUCUAUGCACACAAAAGUACUUUCGAGUGCUGUUCUUCUCCUUGGUUAUUAGUAGCGAUGCUUCCUAAAAUGCACAAGGACAUGGUGCAGCUUUCAAAACAAAAAGACCAUGACAUUUGAGGGAAACAAUCAAGGCUGAUUCUGAAGAUGAAGCCACUUCUCUUAUCUGAGAAUUGGAUUGUCCCUGAAUCUUGAACACCAAUAAGGCAACAUUCUCAAGAAAUUAUUUGCAUAAUUUCAUAAUCAUAAGCCAAAUCCUAACCUUCGACUGGUCUAUCGUAUAACAUCCUGAAAGAUGAUUAUCAAGGCCUAUGGUCCCAACAGCCAACUUUAACCCUCAUCAUAUACCCAUAUCAUUAUAUGUCAUGAUCCAUAAAUAAUGAGCAAAUAGGAUAACCACAAACGUAGAUUUGUCCCUCAUAAAUGAUAAUGAAGUUAAUUACUCAAAUUUAAUAAAACUUUCGUGCUCUUAUCUGCCAGCACCAUGUAAGCCUUAACAAGUUCCUCCUUAACCAUGAAAAGUACAGAAGCUGCAAAAACACUCUGUACUAUUUUUGUGCCCAUCCCUUUAUAAAAACCAGGCACCCCUUCAAAACGAAUCAUUUUAAUUACUGCAUCAAGCGUACCUGAGUAUCUCAGUGAAUUAUUUCCACCAAUCUCCUGUUUUGCUUGAAGCCUUGACUGCAAAAAAGACAACAUAAAGAAGAAGAGACUUAAAGCAUACAUAUAGAUCAGUGUGCUGUGAGUGGCUGAGCUGUCCCAACAGUGAGAGAGACUGCAGGAGCUGACAGUGCUAAAUCAAUUUCUUAAAGAAAGCCCACAGUGAUUGCCUGGAAAAAAAAAAUGAAGAGCAUAUACCCAAGCACAGCCUGUAAACCUUGUGAUUUGCAGAUGACGAUGCCAGUGUCAAUCUUUAGAACAUUUUAUAUAACAAAGCUGAUGGGUACAUCGGUUGGCCAUGAUAACUAAUGAUUUAUACUUAUUUUCUCUUUAGUUUAUUUUUUUAUAUGAUAAUUUAAAAUGCAGUGAAUUUACCUUGACAACCAACAGGGGGUAUGUUGAGACAGUUGCUCCCAAUUUUGCCAAGGCUCCUAGUAAGAAAACCUCUAAAGCAGUUACGUUUUUAUACCCCUGCUUGCUAGCAGAACGUUUUGCCCUUAGAUGCUUUAACGAUGUCUCAUAAAUCAUAAAUUGGAUGGAUGGAUUACACACCAUAAUAAGUGUAGGAAUGAUGCCUUUCCAAAAUCCACUAAUUCCAGCUUCAUUAUAAACUUCACAUGCCUUGCAAGAACAUAAACAGACAGAAGAAACAAAAAUUAACAUCAAAAGAAACUAGAUGGUAAAUUACUAAACCACACCCCACCACCCCACCCCCCGAAAAAAAAAAACACAAAAAAAGGCUUGCCAUUAUGUAAGCUUUGAUCCCUACUAUUUCAAAAUUAGCAAUUUUGGUCCAUGUUGUUUUUCAAUAACUUUGCACUUUACUCAAUUAUAAUACUAUAAUUCUUCAUUAGACUUUAUUCUUUGACAUUUUAAAUUAGACCACACCCUAGUCCCUAAAGUUUAAAAUAGAAUUGCAACUUUUAGUCCCUUAAUAUCUUACACUUUUCACUAAUAGCAAUACAAGGACUAAAAUUACUAACUUUGAAACAACAUAGAUCAAAGUGUAUAUCAUUGCAAAACUUCAAUGAGCUUUUGUAAUUUAACUAAAACUAAAAUGUUAAAUCCAACGGGACAAUUGAUGCCAUCAAGCAUCAAAGUUCAUAAAGCGAAGGAUAUAAAUGAACACUAACAAGAAUCAUGCCCUUCCCGUGCUCAUGUAAAACACAAGCAUGUUCAGGAGGGGAAAAAAAAGAACAGGAAAGAAAUGGCUACCAACCGCAUGUAAAGUCCCAUAAGGACGAGGUUUUAUUGAAUCAAGUUCAGCCAAUUUGUCCUGUAAAGCUGAACCUUGUAAGCCACUCUCAGAAGCUUCCCUGAUUAAAACUUCUUUCUUUCUCUCCAUAAUUUUUUUUUCUGCUUGAGUGUGUGUCUAGAAUCAAAUACAGAAUGUCAAACAUAAUCUUCACUCCAAAAGAUUACAAUAGAAUCGAAAGGUUGCAUAAGGGCAAUCCAACAGUAGUUGAUAAACCAUUCAGUGGCUAUAAAAUCAUUCUAGGUAAUCUGUCACAGUAUUAUGAGGCAGAACUACUGCUGUGAAUAAAUUGAAGUUCUGCUAGCAGUAUAUCAUGCCAUGUGUACCAUCACCAUGGCUCAAAACGGCAUGCAUGAUGCAUUCAUGGAAUAUCUAGCUAUAAAAAUGUUUCAAAACCAGUAGAUUUCCAAUUACAUAAUAUCAGAAUAUAACAUAUCAAAAGAAGCCACGUAAAAUCAGAACAAAGCACCAAAAAACCAGCUACAAAUAAUAGCCAACCAUGCACCAGCAGAAUAGAAGUCAAGCACUAUUGCACAUAUGCACUUGUCAUCCUAUACAUCACUUGUUUCCUUCAUUGGUGUUUGUGGGUAACGUUGUGCAAGUGUAAUUUUGGAGAUAUCUUAUUUUGUUGUUAUAGAGCCAAAUGGCACAAAGGAUCUAGAUUGUACAUCGACUAAAUACUUGUAUGUCCAAAGUGACUUCAAUUAAAUUCAUUGGAAAGGUCAAAACUAAAUCCUAUAAAAUAAUGGUAUUUAUAGGGAAAUAUCCACAGGCACCUGCAUACGAGUCACAAGAACCCAUAUCGGGUUUGUCAGCAAUACAUUCAAUGACCCGGCCAUAGCAGCCACAACAAGCCAAGAAAACAUGCCAACGGUACCAUCUCCCCGACCUUUGGCUUUACGAGAAGCUGCUAUGGCCUCAGCCUUGUUCUUGAAAACUUGAUAAAAGUAGUAAUAAAUGCCCUGAGAAGCAGCAGUUCCAAACAGAGAGGGCUUAAGGCCGCUAUAAAGUCCACCCCAACCUUCGGUUUUAAUGACCUGAAAGAUUUGAAGAAGCGUUCCAGGUGCAGAAUCAAGGGAGCCUUCAUUCUUCUUCUUCUUGGCCCGUCUUUCGGUUUGCUGGCGCGUAUUUACCGUUUGUAGGGGAUAAGUGAUUAUCUGCGCAAUAAUACCACCACCUGCUCCCGCUAGCCCAUUCGCCACUGCGUCUGACUUUGACAUGCUUUUCCCCAAACUCUUCUGGCUCUCCUGUUCUUCCUGCCCCUU
rnacentral:misc_RNA from 1 species